rnacentral:rRNA from 1 species
CCUACGGGAGGCAGCAGUAGGGAAUAUUGCUCAAUGGGGGAAACCCUGAAGCAGCAACGCCGCGUGGAGGAUGACGGUUUUAUGAUUGUAAACUCCUUUUGUGAGAGAAGAUAAUGACGGUAUCUAUCCUGUAAUCCCCGGCUAACUCCGUGCCGGCAGCGGCGGUAAUACGGAGGGUGCAAGCGUUACCCGGAAUCACUGGGCGUAAAGAGUGCGCAGGCGGGUUUGUAAGUCAGAUGUGAAGUGCUGUAGCUUAACUACAGAACUGCAGUUGAAACUAUGAGUCUAGAGUUUAGGAGAGGUAGGUGGAAUUGGUGGUGUAGGGGUGAAAUCCGUAGAUAUCAAGAGGAAUACUGAUUGCGAAGGCGACCUGCUGGAACGUUACUGACGCUCAUGCACGAAAGCGUGGGGAGCAAACAGGAUUAGAUACCCUAGUAGUC